rnacentral:lncRNA from 1 species
GAGUCGGGCAAAGUGCGGGGUAGCCUUUGCCUAGGACCUCGAGAUGUGAGUCGGGCAAAGUGCGGGGUAGCCUUUGCCUAGGACCUUCGAGAUUGGGUCGGACCUUCGAGAUCUAAGUCGGGCGAGGAGCGGGGUAGCUCUUUGCCCAGGACCCUUAAGACAUGAGUCGAAUAAGACAAGAAUGAGGUAGCUUUUCACCUACUAGAUUUGAGAUCUUAGGCAAAGUAGCCUAGCGGAUUGGGUAAUAACUGAAUAGCAUAAGAGUAUUGCAUGCAUACCAUGAUUAGACA